rnacentral:misc_RNA from 1 species
GUGAAUCAUCGAAUCUUUGAACGCACAUUGCGCUUCCUGGUAUUCCGGGGAGUAUGCCUGUUUGAGGGUCAGUAUUAUUUAAACUUCGGUUUAGUUACCAAUUGUGACGUUUGCGGAGUUUGGGCUAUUUUAACAUUUUUGGUUAAGAGGCUUAAAAUUGACAUUUUUUGCGCAUUUUUAAACGUACUUAAAUUUUUUUUUAUUCGUUUAUUCUUACUGUCAUGAUCUUAUUCGAUGCGAUCCAGUUGUG